rnacentral:ncRNA from 2 species
GAAAGCUGCAUGCCGGAAAACGGCACGUGCAGUUUGAGCGGCGGACGGAGGCCAGCGCGUCAGCGCGCCUCCUCCGACCCAAC